rnacentral:rRNA from 1 species
UACGUAGGGGUCGAGCGUUGUCCGGAUUUAUUGGGCGUAAAGAGCCCGCAGGCGGCUUGGCAAGUUUGAGGUGAAAUCUCCCGGCUUAACUGGGAGGGGGCCUCGAAAACUGCCAGGCUUGAGGCAUGGAGAGGGAUGCGGAAUUCCCGGUGUAGUGGUGAAAUGCGUAGAUAUCGGGAGGAACACCAGUGGCGAAGGCGGCAUCCUGGCCAUGUCCUGACGCUCAGGGGCGAAAGCGUGGGGAGCAAACCGG